rnacentral:rRNA from 1 species
AUUGAACGCUGGCGGCAUGCUUUACGCAUGCAAGUCGAACGGUAACAGGGUGCUUGCACCGCUGACGAGUGGCGAACGGGUGAGUAAUGCGUCGGAACGUGCCGAGUAGUGGGGGAUAACGCAGCGAAAGUUGUGCUAAUACCGCAUACGUACUGAGGUAGAAAGUGGGGGACCUUCGGGCCUCACGCUAUUCGAGCGGCCGACGUCUGAUUAGCUAGUAGGUGAGGUAAAGGCUCACCUAGGCGACGAUCAGUAGCGGGUCUGAGAGGAUGAUCCGCCACACUGGGACUGAGACACGGCCCAGACUCCUACGGGAGGCAGCAGUGGGGAAUUUUGGACAAUGGGCGCAAGCCUGAUCCAGCAAUGCCGCGUGCAGGAAGAAGGCCUUCGGGUUGUAAACUGCUUUUGUACGGAACGAAAAGGCUCUGGUUAAUACCUGGGGCUCAUGACGGUACCGUAAGAAUAAGCACCGGCUAACUACGUGCCAGCCGCCGCAGUAAUAC